GCACUCAUUUCUCAGAGUUAUGAUGUCCUUGGCCUGGCCUGCUUUUACUCUGCUUGUUUAGAUCUGCUGCUCUAUGGAAAAGGAUUGCUGUGUCGGCCCUUUAGUGAGUGUCUGCGUUUCAUUCAAGUCUACGAGCACAGCCAUGUUCUAACCUCUCAGAGCAAUGUCAUGCUGGGGGUCCACUCCUCCCUGGCCAUGUGGUUUGCCCAGGAAUCACAGUGGGACCUGUUUGAGCACUAUUUCUCCAAGGCUUGCCAGUUGGUGAAAAGAACCAAUGCCUCGCUAUUUGGUGCACAUGGCUUUGUCCGAUUCCUAGAAUGCCAUAUGUUAAUGUUACAGAAAAUGCCAGAGGGUAUCUUCAUGCAUAUUCCUCUAGAGCUUCGCAGCCAAACCCUUGAGUACUUUAAGGAGUUCUUCUCUCAAUGUGUGACCUGCCCUGUCUAUCACCAGUGGGUAUCUGAGCUUAAGGCCUCUGUAAUGAGAUGUGAAAAGAGAGAAUUCAUGUCCCUGACUAACAGCAUCAGACCUUUUGACACCUGCUUGACCAGGAUUUGGAUAAAAGGAGAAUUUCUGCAGGAAAAUAACUCUUAGAAAAGAAACUUAGGAAUACAGAGAUUUGACAGAGUGGCUGAUGUCAAGGAGAACAAGGAUGCAGAAGAAACUCAGGAUGUAUGUAUUAAAACAAAAGAAAAAUAACCUGAAGGGACCAUGAUUCUGUUAUUGUAUAUAACACAAGGAAAUGCCCCAGAUUCUCCUUUUAAAGAUAUAAUGUACAUAUUAAGUAUACUAGCCUUUAUAGUUACUGCUAUCUACAUGUUUAUCAAAAUAAAAGACUAUUUUUUUCUAAAACAUGCCACUUAGAUUUUUUUUAACUCUUAAAAGUCGUUAGCACAACUUUACCAGAAGUUACAACCAGGAGUAGACGGGAGGCCUGGAAGGCUUUAAGAUGAACUGAUUCCAUCUUUUAUAAG
rnacentral:lncRNA from 1 species